UGAAUACGAGAUGCUACGGCGUCGAAGCAGUCUAUGUCAUACUUCCAAGAAAAGCUUGCACUGUCAUAAACAAAUAAUGCCUGUACCAUAACCGACACAGGUGGGUAGGUAGAGUAUACUAAGGGGCGCGAGAUAACUCUCUCUAAGGAACUCGGCAAAAUGACUCCGUAACUUCGGGAGAAGGAGUGCCUUAUUUAUAAGGUUGCAAUAACAAGAUCCAAGCAACUGUUUACCAAAAACACAGGUCUCCGCUAAGUCGUAAGACGAUGUAUGGGGGCUGACGCCUGCCCAGUGCCAGAAGGUUAAAGAAGUUGGUUAGCAUCCGCGAAGCUGAUAACUGAAGCCCUGGUGAACGGCGGCCGUAACUGUAACGGUCCUAAGGUAGCGAAAUUCCUUGUCGGGUAAGUUCCGACCCGCACGAAAGGCGUAAUGAUUUGGAUACUGUCUCGGAGAGGGGCUCGGUGAAAUAGACUUGUCUGUGAAGAUGCGGACUACCUGCACCAGGACAGAAAGACCCUAUGAAGCUUUACUGUAACCUGAAAUUGAAAUUGGACUUUACUUGCGCAGUAUAGGUGGGAGGCGUUGAGAAUAUUCUUGCGGGAUUAUUGGAGCCAUCAGUGAGAUACCACUCUUGUAAUGUUAGAUUUCUAACUUUGUAUCAUUAUCUGGUCAAAGAACAGUUUCAGGCGGGCAGUUUGACUGGGGCGGUCGCCUCCUAAACGGUAACGGAGGCGCACAAAGGUUUCCUCUGAACGGGUAGAAAUCGUAUCUAGAGUGUAAAGGCAUAAGGAAGCUUGACUGUGAGACCUACAAGUCGAGCAGGGACGAAAGUCGGUCUUAGUGAUCUGACGGUGCUGAGUGGAAAGGCCGUCACUCAACGGAUAAAAGUUACUCUAGGAUAACAGGCUGAUCUCCCCCAAGAGUUCACAUCGACGGGGAGGUUUGGCACCUCGAUGUCGGCUCAUCGCAUCCUGGGGCGGUGGUACGUCCCAAGGGUUGGGCUGUUCGCCCAUGAAAGCGGUACGCGAGCUGGGUUCAGAACGUCGUGAGACAGUUCGGUCCAUAUCCGGUGUAGGCGUUAGAAUAUUGAGAGGAGCCUUCUUUAGUACGAGAGGACCGAGAAGGACAUACCUCUGGUGUACCAGUUAUCGUGCCAACGGUAAACGCUGGGUAGCUAUGUGUGGAGUGGAUAACCGCUGAAAGCAUCUAAGUGGGAAGCCCACCUCAAGAUAAG
rnacentral:rRNA from 1 species